UCCCGCGUAGCUCAGUUGGCAGAGCAUUGGGCUAGUAUUCCAAAGGUCGUAGGUUCGAUUCCCACCGUGGCCG